CACGUAGGGGGCAAGCGUUGUCCGGAUUCAUUGGGCGUAAAGAGCUCGUAGGCGGUUCGAUAAGUCGGGUGUGAAACCUCCAGGCUCAACCUGGAGACGCCACCCGAUACUGUCGUGACUAGAGUCCAGUAGGGGAGCGUGGAAUUCCUGGUGUAGCGGUGAAAUGCGCAGAUAUCAGGAAGAACACCAAUUGCGAAGGCAGCUCGCUGGGACGUUACUGACGCUGAGACGCGAAAGCGUGGGGAGCAAACAGG
rnacentral:rRNA from 1 species